GACGAACCGUGCAAACGUUGUUCGGAAUCACUGGGCUUAAAGGGCGCGUAGGCGGGCGCACAAGUCAGGGGUGAAAGCCCACGGCUCAACCGUGGAAGAGCCUUUGAUACUGUGUGUCUUGAGGGAGGUAGGGGCGUGCGGAACUUCCGGUGGAGCGGUGAAAUGCGUAGAUAUCGGAAGGAACACCAGUGGCGAAGGCGGCACUCUGGGCCGGAACUGACGCUGAGGAGCGAAAGCGUGGGGAGCGAACAGG
rnacentral:rRNA from 1 species